UGCAACCUGCCCGUUUCAGCCGGAUAACCCGGAGAAAUCCGGCCUAAUACCGCAUGUGGCCGAGGGGAGGCAUCUUCUUUCGGCCAAAGGAGGCGACUCCGGAGACGGAUGGGCAUGCGUGACAUUAGCUUGUUGGCGGGGUAACGGCCCACCAAGGCGACGAUGUCUAGGGGUUCUGAGAGGAAGGUCCCCCACACUGGUACUGAGACACGGACCAGACUCCUACGGGAGGCAGCAG
rnacentral:rRNA from 1 species